rnacentral:rRNA from 1 species
AUUGAACGCUGGCGGCAUGCCUAACACAUGCAAGUCGAGCGCGCGGCGGACGGGUGAGUAAUGUCUGGGAAACUGCCUGAUGGAGUGGGAUAACUACUGGAAACGUUAUCUAAUACCGCAUACCAUCAGCUGUGCCCAGAUGGCAUUAGCUGGUCGGGGGGGUAACGGCUCACCUAGGCGACGAUCCCUAGCUGGUCUGGGAGGAUGAUCAGCCACACUGGAACGGAGACACGGUCAAGAGUCCUACGGGAGGGAGCAGUGGGGAAUGGGGGACAAGGGGGGCAAGUCUGAUGCAGCCAUGGCGCGUGUGUGAAGAAGGCCUUCGGGUUGUAAAGCAGUUUCAGCGGGGAGGCGUUACCGGCAGAAGAAGCACCGGCUAACUACGUGCCAGCAGCCGCGGUAAUUC